AUUGAACGCUGGCGGAAUGCUUUACACAUGCAAGUCGAACGGUAGAGGGGGCAACCCCUCGAGAGUGGCGAACGGGUGAGUAAUAUAUCGGAACGUGCCCAGUCGUGGGGGAUAACGUAGCGAAAGUUACGCUAAUACCGCAUACGAUCUAAGGAUGAAAGCGGGGGAUCGCAAGACCUCGCGCGAUUGGAGCGGCCGAUAGCAGAUUAGGUAGUUGGUGGGGUAAGGGCUCACCAAGCCAACGAUCUGUAGCUGGUCUGAGAGGACGACCAGCCACACUGGAACUGAGACACGGUCCGGACUCCUACGAGAGGCAGCAGUGGGGAAUUUUGGACAAUGGACGCAAGUCUGAUCCAGCCAUUCCGCGUGCAGGAUGAAGGCCCUCGGGUUGUAAACUGCUUUUGUACGGAACGAAAAGGUCUCUCUUAAUACGGGGGACUCAUGACGGUACCGUAAGAAUAAGCACCGGCUAACUACGUGCCAGCCGCCGCCGUAA
rnacentral:rRNA from 1 species